rnacentral:rRNA from 1 species
AGUGAACGCUGGCGGUAGGCCUAACACAUGCAAGUCGAACGGCAGCACAGUAAGAGCUUGCUCUUACGGGUGGCGAGUGGCGGACGGGUGAGGAAUACAUCGGAAUCUACUUUUUCGUGGGGGAUAACGUAGGGAAACUUACGCUAAUACCGCAUACGACCUACGGGUGAAAGCAGGGGAUCUUCGGACCUUGCGCGAUUGAAUGAGCCGAUGUCGGAUUAGCUAGUUGGCGGGGGAAAGGCCCACCAAGGCGACGAUCCGUAGCUGGUCUGAGAGGAUGAUCAGCCACACUGGAACUGAGACACGGUCCAGACUCCUACGGGAGGCAGCAGUGGGGAAUAUUGGACAAUGGGCGCAAGCCUGAUCCAGCCAUACCGCGUGGGUGAAGAAGGCCUUCGGGUUGUAAAGCCCUUUUGUUGGGGAAGAAAAGCAGCAGGUUAAUACCCCGCUGUUCUGACGGUACCCAAAGAAUAAGCACCGGCUAACUUCGUG